rnacentral:misc_RNA from 3 species
AAAUAUCAACCUUGACUUGGGUUUAGUGCUCUUGUCUUGGCUUGGAUUUGGCUGUUUGCCGCUCGAAAGAGUCGGCUCAGCUUAAAAGUAUUAGCUGGAUCUGUCUUUGAGACUUGGUUUGACUUGGCGUAAUAAGUUAUUUCGCUGAGGACAAUCUUCGGAUUGGCCGAGUUUCUGGGACGUUUGUCCGCUUUCUAAUACAAGUUCUAGCUUGCUAGACAUGACUUUUUUAUU